CCCUGCCAUUUGUACACACCGCCCGUCGCUCCUACCGAUGAAUGGUCCGGUGAGGAUUCAGGAUGACCGCAGAUCAUGGCUUUGCCAUUCUGUUGUUUGUCAGAAUUUGUUCAAACCUUAUCAUUUAA
rnacentral:rRNA from 1 species